rnacentral:miRNA from 1 species
UUGCUGUGGCAGGGUGUGUGUGUGUGCGCAUAUGUGUAUAAACACACACAUACACACACACACACACACACACACACACACCACUGAUG